rnacentral:hammerhead_ribozyme from 1 species
GUCCAGCUGAAGAGUCUUAAGUAGGACGAAACAUGAGUCCUGGAC